GGCCGGUUGGCCCAAUGGUAAGGCGUCUGACUACGAAUCACUUCGAAAUCAGGAGAUUCUGGGUUCGAACCCCAGGCUGGUCA